ACGCUGGCGGCAGGCCUAACACAUGCAAGUCGAGCGGCAGCACGGGUACUUGUACCUGGUGGCGAGCGGCGGACGGGUGAGUAAUGCCUAGGAAUCUGCCUGGUAGUGGGGGAUAACGCUCGGAAACGGACGCUAAUACCGCAUACGUCCUACGGGAGAAAGCAGGGGACCUUCGGGCCUUGCGCUAUCAGAUGAGCCUAGGUCGGAUUAGCUAGUUGGUGAGGUAAUGGCUCACCAAGGCGACGAUCCGUAACUGGUCUGAGAGGAUGAUCAGCCACACUGGAACUGAGACACGGUCCAGACUCCUACGGGAGGCAGCAGUGGGGAAUAUUGGACAAUGGGCGAAAGCCUGAUCCAGCCAUGCCGCGUGUGUGAAGAAGGUCUUCGGAUUGUAAAGCACUUUAAGUUGGGAGGAAGGGCAGUUACCUAAUACGUAUCUGUUUUGACGUUACCGACAGAAUAAGCACCGGCUAACUCUGUGCCAGCAGCCGCGGUAAUACAGAGGGUGCAAGCGUUAAUCGGAAUUACUGGGCGUAAAGCGCGCGUAGGUGGUUUGUUAAGUUGGAUGUGAAAUCCCCGGGCUCAACCUGGGAACUGCAUUCAAAACUGACAAGCUAGAGUAUGGUAGAGGGUGGUGGAAUUUCCUGUGUAGCGGUGAAAUGCGUAGAUAUAGGAAGGAACACCAGUGGCGAAGGCGACCACCUGGACUGAUACUGACACUGAGGUGCGAAAGCGUGGGGAGCAAAC
rnacentral:rRNA from 1 species